CAGGAAGGGGGCCGUCGGGAAGGUGGAGGAGGGACGUCCAAUCCGCGGGCGACCCGGCUUUCACGCCGGCCAAUCAGCGCUCGCCUCGCGCACAAUGUGUCGCGGCGAGGGCGGUUCUCCAUCACGUUAGGGUGCGUUGGGCGGUGGCCGGGUAUAAAAGACUCCGCCCGAGCGGGCGGCCGCCAUUCUGGGGUUCGUUUAGAGGUUGAAUUUUCUCGGAGAAAGACAGGCCGGCCAUCCGGAAAACAAACAAGCCUCUGCAACACCUAAACCCUUGAAAGGAUCCUGAGAGAGGGGGGAAAGGGAAACCAGCAGCCACCAGCCCAACCACUCGUGUCUUCCGCCCCUCCCCACCUAUCUUGCCCACCCCACCAGCCCACGCUGCUUGGGACUUGAAAUCUGUGGCCGAAGGACCGUCACCACAUAACUUCAAAAAUAAUCAACCACCCUCCCUGCCCAAACCUCCCCAAUCUCACUCAUCCAGCAUUUCCGUUUUGGAAUCCACUCAGACUUUUUUUCAACGACCCCCUCUCCCUAAAUGGAGUUGGGUGGGGGGGAAAUGAAAACUGAGUUGGUCUUUACUUUUUUAAGAGACUUUUUGAUCCAAUGAGGCCCCACAAGUAACUGAGUUUGGGUCCUGGUUGGUUGUUUUUUUUCCUCCAAAAUUUUACCCCUCCCCCCUGAGCCCGAGGUGCUGACGUCGCAAAAAAAUUGGAUAGUAAGUGUCGAAUUUUCAAAAACCAGCCUUGAACAAGAAAUCAACGUUUCCCGUUGUGAAACCAAAAAUAAUGAGAGGAAGAAAUGAGACCAUAGAACAAAUGUAGAGUAUUGGAGAAGGACCAAUCGGGUCUCUUAUAUCUCCAUUAAAGGUCCUGUGGGUCUAAACAGUCUUUGUUCUCUCUCCCCUACCACCUGCCUCUUCCCUGCUGUGGAGCAGGCAAGGGAGAGGGUGAAGGGAGGGCCAGCCAGUGAGGAUUUUGACGGUUAACCCUUGAUAAUCCAGCAAAUUUCCAGACUGCCAAAAGCAUAAGCCUUUGCUAUUACAAGGAGGAACGGUUACCUUCCUCUGGUUAGCAGUCUUCAAAAGGGUUAAUGAGCUCACAUACAAAAGAUGGUGGAUCUUGUGGCCCAGAAGUCCCACUUCUUUGUGUGUGAGACAAGCAGAACGCCUUUCAAUUUGCCAGAUUAAUAAGCAAUCUGUACAUAAAGAUUGCAGGGUAAGGAGAUGGGCAGAGAAGUAUUAGCUGGCUAUGUCUUUAAAGUGACUGUUAAAUCCUCUCAAUUUUAAUGUAAUUUGCUUGGGAUAUAUUGUGUGGUUAAGAUAGGUGGCAAUCUAGGAAUAAAGAUUGCAAGACACUUAAAUUUAGGGCAAAAAUCAUAGUAACAAGUACAUUCAAUAACAUUUGGGGCGGUAAAGAAUGUCUUGUGAUUGUUUCAGCUUGCAUAGGUUAUUUAAAGGCAAAAGUGAUUUAACAUUUUUUAACUUGAUACUUUUUAGUGGGUGGUGAAUACAGCUAAGAGGGUUGGGAAGGUUGGGAAAUGUGGAACUCAGGAGUAUAAUUUUAAAAGCCAUUAGUGCAUUUGAAUGCUAUCUAGAAGAUUGUGUCGUUAAAAGAAUUUUUUUCUUCCCUGCUUCAAA